CACAAAACAAGCGGUGAGUGCUUUGGGGUGGGGUGACUGCGUACCUUUUGUAUAAUGGGUCAGCGACUUAUAUUCUGUAGCAAGGUUAACCGUAUAGGGGAGCCGAAGGGAAACCGAGUCUUAACUGGGCGUUAAGUUGCAGGGUAUAGACCCGAAACCCGGUGAUCUAGCCAUGGGCAGGUUGAAGGUUGGGUAACACUAACUGGAGGACCGAACCGACUAAUGUUGAAAAAUUAGCGGAUGACUUGUGGCUGGGGGUGAAAGGCCAAUCAAACCGGGAGAUAGCUGGUUCUCCCCGAAAGCUAUUUAGGUAGCGCCUCGUGAACUCAUCUUCGGGGGUAGAGCACUGUUUCGGCUAGGGGGUCAUCCCGACUUACCAACCCGAUGCAAACUGCGAAUACCGAAGAAUGUUAUCACGGGAGACACACGGCGGGUGCUAACGUCCGUCGUGAAGAGGGAAACAACCCAGACCGCCAGCUAAGGUCCCAAAGUCACAGUUAAGUGGGAAACGAUGUGGGAAGGCUCAGACAGCCAGGAUGUUGGCUUAGAAGCAGCCAUCAUUUAAAGAAAGCGUAAUAGCUCACUGGUCGAGUCGGCCUGCGCGGAAGAUGUAACGGGGCUAAACUGUGCACCGAAGCUGCGGCAGCGACGCUUAUGCGUUGUUGGGUAGGGGAGCGUUCUGUAAGCCUGCGAAGGUGUCCUGUGAGGGAUGCUGGAGGUAUCAGAAGUGCGAAUGCUGACAUAAGUAACGAUAA
rnacentral:rRNA from 1 species